AGUCAGUGUGUUCUUCUCCCAGUGUGUGCUACACCACCAUGAUCAUUUUCACUGUACUGCUGCUCUCUGCUCUUACAGGUAACAGAGCUGAAGACGUCAUCACUCCUAGCAGAGACGCUGUUUUUGCUGUUGAAGGUCAGAAUGUUACCCUCUCCUGUAACUACACUGUAAGUGCUGACAGUCUUCACUGGUACCGACAGUAUUCAGGAUCAUCUCCUCAGUUCCUCAUACUGGACUAUGCAGGGGUCAUUACUGAAGCUCAACCUCCAGUUCCUAGAAUAUCCAUCAACCAUCAAAAAGAAAAGAGGAAAGUGGAUCUGAUCAUCUCCUCUACUGCAGUAUCAGACUCUGCUCUCUACUACUGCGCUCUGAAGCCCACAGUGACAGAAACCCACCAAACACUGUACUAAAACUUUACUUGUGAAAUAUGUAGAAACACUUAUAUUUCAGGAGGGGGCGCUGUUUCUCUUCUGCUUCUUUAUCUUCAGCUUCCUCACCAUUCAGGUUAGAACAUCAGUCUGCUUUGGAACAUCAGUCAUCAUGUUGUGACCUACAGUAAAGUGGAACUCUCUAUAACCCUUUAUAAAUGUUUACAGAUACUUCUGUAGAAUAUGUAAUGUCAUAUUCUUUGCACAAACAUUUAUCUCUCAUU